GAUACACACGGGAGGGCAAAAUCCCGCCUGCUCCGCGGACAAAUAGUGACGUCAUCACUUGAAUCCGGCGCAGCCGAGUUAGGUCGCAUUCACACAGCCGGAGCACCGUUUGCGGAAUCCGCGUGCUUAUUCUCGACGCCAACGCCACGCACGUUGCCAAACUGCUGGGUACGAGUGCGCAUUCCAAGAUAGACAGCUAUCGGAGGCGGCGUUUGUCCGCGUUGGCUGUUCUACUCGAAGUGAGUGAAGACAGCUAGGUGUAGGCUGUAAAAAGAAAACGAUUAUGCUUGAAGAAACCACGGAUGUCGAAGAAUACGCUUUGUGUUCAGAGCUUGCUUUGUGAAGAUCUGCUAGAGUGUGAUCCGCACGAAUACAAGCGCCUACUGCGCGUCAGCAGCACGCAGUUUUUCGAACUUCUGGCCCCCGUUCAACAUACAAUCGAGCGGCAAGAAACCAUCGUGAGACCAUCUGUGCCAGCGAAGACACGGCUUCAAAUCACUCUUCGCUUUCUCGCCGCAGGAGAAACGCACUACUCUUAAGCUGACAGUUCAGGGAGGACACUCAACUGUCAACCAGCUCAUAAAAGAGACAUGUGUGGCAAUCUGCCUGGAGCUGAAAGACGAAUUCUUGAAGACCCCCAAGACUGACGGAGAGUGGUCUAGAGCCAUGCAAGACAUCAAAGAAAAGUGGCAGUUCCCCAAUUGUAUUGGUGCUAUAGAUGGAAAACAUGUGUGCAUCAUCAAGCCAAAUAUUCAGGCUCUUUGUAUUUCAACUACAAUAAAACCUUCAGCAUAGUGCUA